GAUGAAGAACGCAGCAAAAUGCGAUAAGUAAUGUGAAUUGCAGAAUUCAGUGAAUCAUCGAAUCUUUGAACGCACAUUGCGCCCGCUGGUAUUCCGGCGGGCAUGCCUGUUCGAGCGUCAUUUCAACCCUCAAGCUCAGCUUGGUGUUGGGGCCUGCUGCACUGGCAGCCCUUAAAAUCAGUGGCGGCGCCAUCUGGCUCUAAGCGUAGUAAUUCUUCUCGCUAUGGAGUCCUGGUGGAUGCUUGCCAUCAACCCCCAAUUUUUCUAUGGUUGACCUCGGAUCAGGUAGGGAUACCCGCUGAACUUAAGCAUAUCAAUAAGCGGAGGA
rnacentral:misc_RNA from 1 species